rnacentral:rRNA from 1 species
CCUACGGGAGGCAGCAGUGGGGGAUAUUGCACAAUGGGGGAAACCCUGAUGCAGCGACGCCGCGUGUGGGAAGACGGUCCUCUGGAUUGUAAACCACUGUCCCCAGGGACAAAGAUGACGGUACCUGGGGAGGAAGCUCCGGCUAACUACGUGCCAGCAGCCGCGGUAAAACGUAGGGAGCGAGCGUUGUCCGGAAUUACUGGGUGUAAAGGGAGCGUAGGCGGGACUGCAAGUUGGGUGUAAAAUCUACGGGCUCAACCGGUAGCCGCACUCAAAACUGCAGUUCUUGAGUGAAGUAGAGGCAGGCGGAAUUCCUAGUGUAGCGGUGAAAUGCGUAGAUAUUAGGAGGAACACCAGUGGCGAAGGCGGCCUGCUGGGCUUUUACUGACGCUGAGGCUCGAAAGUGUGGGGAGCAAACAGGAUUGGAUACCCUGGUAGUC